GAUGAACGCUGGCGGCGUGCCUAAUACAUGCAAGUCGAACGGACGGACGCGAAGCUUGCUUCUCUGAUGUUAGCGGCGGACGGGUGAGUAACGCGUGGAUACCCUACCUAUAAUACUGGUAUAACUUCGGGACACCGUAGCUAAUACCGUAUAAUAUUUUGAACCGCGUGGUUCAAAGGUAAAUGACGGUCUUGCUGUCUCUUCUAGCUGGAUCCGGGCUGCAUGAGCUGGUUGGUAAGUUAACGGCUUACCAAGGCAACGAGGCAUGGCCGAGCUGAGAGAGUGAUCGGCCACACGAGAGCUGGACCACGGUCAAGACUCCUAAGGGAGGCAGCAGUAGGGAAUCUUCCGCAAUGGGCGAAAGCCUGACGGAGCAACGCCGCGUGAGUGAUGAAGGUCCUGGGAUCGUAAAACUCUGUUAUUAGGGAAGAACAGAUGUGGAAGUAACUGUGCACAUCUUGACGGUACUUAAUCAGAAAGCCACGGCUAACUACGUG
rnacentral:rRNA from 1 species